GGGAGUGGCAGACGGGUGAGUAACACGUGGGAACGUACCCUUUGGUUCGGGACAACUCUGGGAAACUGGAGCUAAUACCGGAUACGCCCUUUUGGGGAAAGGUUUACUGCCGAAGGAUCGGCCCGCGUCUGAUUAGCUAGUUGGUGGGGUAACGGCCUACCAAGGCGACGAUCAGUAGCUGGUCUGAGAGGAUGAUCAGCCACACUGGGACUGAGACACGGCCCAGACUCCUACGGGAGGCAGCAGUGGGGAAUAUUGGACAAUGGGCGCAAGCCUGAUCCAGCCAUGCCGCGUGAGUGAUGAAGGCCUUAGGGUUGUAAAGCUCUUUUAUCCGGGACGAUAAUGACGGUACCGGAGGAAUAAGCCCCGGCUAACUUCGUGCCAGCAGCCGCGGUAAUACGAAGGGGGCUAGCGUUGCUCGGAAUCACUGGGCGUAAAGGGCGCGUAGGCGGCGUUUUAAGUCGGGGGUGAAAGCCUGUGGCUCAACCACAGAAUGGCCUUCGAUACUGGGACGCUUGAGUCUGGUAGAGGUUGGUGGAACUGCGAGUGUAGAGGUGAAAUUCGU
rnacentral:rRNA from 1 species